AACGCGAAGAACCUUACCCAGACUUGACAUGCAUAGGACAGUCACAGAAAUGUGAUCUCUCUUCGGAGCCUAUGCACAGGUGCUGCAUGGCUGUCGUCAGCUCGUGCCGUGAGGUGUUGGGUUAAGUCCCGCAACGAGCGCAACCCUUAUCAUUAGUUGCCAACAUGUAAAGAUGGGAACUCUAAUGAGACUGCCUGGGUUAACCAGGAGGAAGGUGAGGAUGACGUCAAGUCCGCAUGGCCCUUAUGUCUGGGGCUACACACGUGCUACAAUGGCCGGUACAGAAGGCAGCGAAGCCGCAAGGUGAAGCAAAUCCCGAAAACCGGCCCCAGUUCAGAUUGUAGUCUGCAACUCGACUACAUGAAGCCGGAAUUGCUAGUAAUGGCGAGUCAGCACAUCGCCGUGAAUACGUUCCCGGGCCUUGUACACACCGGUAUCUC
rnacentral:rRNA from 1 species